GGACUUUGCAAGCGUUGAUCGGAAUUACUGGGCGUAAAGCGCACGCUUGCGGUUGCAUUUUUUAGAUGUGAAAGCCCCGGGCUCAACCUGGGAAUUGCAUUUAAAACUGUCCAGCUAGUUUCUUGAAGAGGGGGGUAGAAUUCCAGGUGUAGCGGUGAAAUGCGUAGAGAUCUGGAGGAAUACCGGUGGCGAAGGCGGCCCCCUGGACAAAGACUGACGCUCAGGUGCGAAAGCGUGGGGAGCAAACAGGAUUAGAUACCCUGGUAGUCCACGCCGUAAACGAUGUCGAUUUGGAGGCUGUGUCCUUGAGACGUGGCUUCCGGAGCUAACGCGUUAAAUCGACCGUCUGGGGAGUACGGCCGCAAGGUUA
rnacentral:rRNA from 1 species